UUCUGCCGUCAGACAAUUAGCUAGAUGACCGCAGUAUCGUCCGUGUUUGAUGAAAUCGAGCCCACUGAUAUCGCAAAAUCAUGUGAUGUUGAAGAAACGUCGUUGACUGUUUAUAGGAUUUCGGAGGACGAUCUCAUCUCAGUCUUAUGGAGUUGCUGGAAGGUGUUGAUCGUCAAUUCAAAAAACUUUGGUGGCUUCUUAAGAGAUCUAUGAUGGAUUGUUUGAAAAUUUACACUCUUUUGUGAAAAGAUAUAUGGCAGGUAACGAAACUGAGUCAUGCCAUUAUAUGUGAACGAUGAGAGCUCUGAAAAUCUUUUUUCCAGGAAGAGACUUUUUGAUUCUUUUUUUGGAUACAUUGACCAGUUUUGGUGUUCACCGCUUCUAUAAAACUUCCCAUAGUAAUACCAUAUAACAUUUGGCAUAUCUUUAUCCCCCAUGAACUUGUUCACAACGCUAAGAUUCUUGCCAAAUAUAUAUAAACCAAUAAUAAAACUAUCAUGUUCAAUCGCGCUCCAACAUUCUUCACUUGAUGAACACGGAACUGAAACCAAAACCAUUGUUUGUUUCACAACCUACAUUACAAAACUCACCCUUUCUCCCCAUUUCCCACCAAACCCUUCACCUUUCUCACGGAUUCUCCCCCAAAUUGGUUCAUUCUCAUCAAUUUCACCAAAUUCUCCUAUAAAUCGAUAAAUCCGCCCACCCACCACAUCUUCGAUCAAGACGAAGUCACUUCGAGUUGAAAUGGAGCAACAGAUCAAGACGACGGACACGAAGACAAUGGCGGUGAUGAUAACAUGAUGUAGUUUUACACGUUUUAUGCAAUGUUAUGAUGUUAAUAUGUGAAUUAAAUGAAUAACUUUUAAGUAGUUUUAGGAUGUUUAUAUAAUUAUUAUGUUUAUGUAGUUAGUUGUGAGUGGCGAAGAAAAA